CGUGUUUUGAACUUUGGACUGAUUUUCUUCCCUUUUCUUUCCAGAUAUUGAGAACGUUUGAUAUCUGUCUCCCUGACUGCUUGGCUUGCUCUCUCGUAGGAUAGAUGAUGUUUUUGUCUAAGCACAAAUGUCUCUACAGUGUUUGUAUAUUCUGUCUUCACAGGUGAAAUGAAACAGCAGGGAGCUUUGAAUGCCGAGGAAGGGCUUCGGGGUUGUUUCAGAAACUCAGUGGGAUCUCCGUCCUCAAUGCCAGACCUGGAGAAGACCCCUUGAAAAAGGCCACGGAGGCAUUUCUGCUCUUCAGAUCCCGUCCUUGUCCUUAGAGGACUCAGUUACCGACUAGCCAGUGGCUGGCUACAUUUGUUCUCCAAACAGGGAAGUGAGAAAGAAACCACUCAGCUGGUCAUGAAGCCUGGAGUUCAGAUGGCCAAAGCACACAGGUCACUGAAGGAGGAAAAGAAAGACAGAUUUGAAGUCAUCAAAAAUAAAAAUGUGC
rnacentral:lncRNA from 1 species